rnacentral:tRNA from 1 species
GCGAAAGUAGCUCAAUGGUAGAGCGUCGCCUUGCCAAGGCGAAGGGUGAGGGUUCGAGUCCCUUUUUUCGCU